GGCUCCAUACCUCAGCUGUUAAAGCACUGGUCUUGUAAACCAGGGGUCAUGAGUUCAAAUCUCAUUGGGGCCU